rnacentral:rRNA from 1 species
GGGUUGUGAGGUUAAGCGACUAAGCGUACACGGUGGAUGCCUUGGCAGUCAGAGGCGAUGAAGGACGUGCUAAUCUGCGAUAAGCGUCGGUAAGGUGAUAUGAACCGUUAUAACCGGCGAUUUCCGAAUGGGGAAACCCAGUGUGAUUCGUCACACUAUCAUUAACUGAAUCCAUAGGUUAAUGAGGCGAACCGGGGGAACUGAAACAUCUAAGUACCCCGAGGAAAAGAAAUCAACCGAGAUUCCCCCAGUAGCGGCGAGCGAACGGGGAGCAGCCCAGAGCCUGAAUCAGUGUGUGUGUUAGUGGAAGCGUCUGGAAAGGCGCGCGAUACAGGGUGACAGCCCCGUACACAAAAAUGCACAUGCUGUGAGCUCGAUGAGUAGGGCGGGACACGUGGUAUCCUGUCUGAAUAUGGGGGGACCAUCCUCCAAGGCUAAAUACUCCUGACUGACCGAUAGUGAACCAGUACCGUGAGGGAAAGGCGAAAAGAACCCCGGCGAGGGGAGUGAAAAAGAACCUGAAACCGUGUACGUACAAGCAGUGGGAGCACGCUUAGGCGUGUGACUGCGUACCUUUUGUAUAAUGGGUCAGCGACUUAUAUUCUGUAGCAAGGUUAACCGAAUAGGGGAGCCGAAGGGAAACCGAGUCUUAACUGGGCGUUAAGUUGCAGGGUAUAGACCCGAAACCCGGUGAUCUAGCCAUGGGCAGGUUGAAGGUUGGGUAACACUAACUGGAGGACCGAACCGACUAAUGUUGAAAAAUUAGCGGAUGACUUGUGGCUGGGGGUGAAAGGCCAAUCAAACCGGGAGAUAGCUGGUUCUCCCCGAAAGCUAUUUAGGUAGCGCCUCGUGAAUUCAUCUCCGGGGGUAGAGCACUGUUUCGGCAAGGGGGUCAUCCCGACUUACCAACCCGAUGCAAACUGCGAAUACCGGAGAAUGUUAUCACGGGAGACACACGGCGGGUGCUAACGUCCGUCGUGAAGAGGGAAACAACCCAGACCGCCAGCUAAGGUCCCAAAGUCAUGGUUAAGUGGGAAACGAUGUGGGAAGGCCCAGACAGCCAGGAUGUUGGCUUAGAAGCAGCCAUCAUUUAAAGAAAGCGUAAUAGCUCACUGGUCGAGUCGGCCUGCGCGGAAGAUGUAACGGGGCUAAACCAUGCACCGAAGCUGCGGCAGCGACGCUUAUGCGUUGUUGGGUAGGGGAGCGUUCUGUAAGCCUGUGAAGGUGUGCUGUGAGGCAUGCUGGAGGUAUCAGAAGUGCGAAUGCUGACAUAAGUAACGAUAAAGCGGGUGAAAAGCCCGCUCGCCGGAAGACCAAGGGUUCCUGUCCAACGUUAAUCGGGGCAGGGUGAGUCGACCCCUAAGGCGAGGCCGAAAGGCGUAGUCGAUGGGAAACAGGUUAAUAUUCCUGUACUUGGUGUUACUGCGAAGGGGGGACGGAGAAGGCUAUGUUGGCCGGGCGACGGUUGUCCCGGUUUAAGCGUGUAGGCUGGUUUUCCAGGCAAAUCCGGAAAAUCAAGGCUGAGGCGUGAUGACGAGGCACUACGGUGCUGAAGCAACAAAUGCCCUGCUUCCAGGAAAAGCCUCUAAGCAUCAGGUAACAUCAAAUCGUACCCCAAACCGACACAGGUGGUCAGGUAGAGAAUACCAAGGCGCUUGAGAGAACUCGGGUGAAGGAACUAGGCAAAAUGGUGCCGUAACUUCGGGAGAAGGCACGCUGAUAUGUAGGUGAAGUCCCUCGCGGAUGGAGCUGAAAUCAGUCGAAGAUACCAGCUGGCUGCAACUGUUUAUUAAAAACACAGCACUGUGCAAACACGAAAGUGGACGUAUACGGUGUGACGCCUGCCCGGUGCCGGAAGGUUAAUUGAUGGGGUCAGCGCAAGCGAAGCUCUUGAUCGAAGCCCCGGUAAACGGCGGCCGUAACUAUAACGGUCCUAAGGUAGCGAAAUUCCUUGUCGGGUAAGUUCCGACCUGCACGAAUGGCGUAAUGAUGGCCAGGCUGUCUCCACCCGAGACUCAGUGAAAUUGAACUCGCUGUGAAGAUGCAGUGUACCCGCGGCAAGACGGAAAGACCCCGUGAACCUUUACUAUAGCUUGACACUGAACAUUGAGCCUUGAUGUGUAGGAUAGGUGGGAGGCUUAGAAGUGUGGACGCCAGUCUGCAUGGAGCCGACCUUGAAAUACCACCCUUUAAUGUUUGAUGUUCUAACGUUGACCCGUAAUCCGGGUUGCGGACAGUGUCUGGUGGGUAGUUUGACUGGGGCGGUCUCCUCCUAAAGAGUAACGGAGGAGCACGAAGGUUGGCUAAUCCUGGUCGGACAUCAGGAGGUUAGUGCAAUGGCAUAAGCCAGCUUGACUGCGAGCGUGACGGCGCGAGCAGGUGCGAAAGCAGGUCAUAGUGAUCCGGUGGUUCUGAAUGGAAGGGCCAUCGCUCAACGGAUAAAAGGUACUCCGGGGAUAACAGGCUGAUACCGCCCAAGAGUUCAUAUCGACGGCGGUGUUUGGCACCUCGAUGUCGGCUCAUCACAUCCUGGGGCUGAAGUAGGUCCCAAGGGUAUGGCUGUUCGCCAUUUAAAGUGGUACGCGAGCUGGGUUUAGAACGUCGUGAGACAGUUCGGUCCCUAUCUGCCGUGGGCGCUGGAGAACUGAGGGGGGCUGCUCCUAGUACGAGAGGACCGGAGUGGACGCAUCACUGGUGUUCGGGUUGUCAUGCCAAUGGCACUGCCCGGUAGCUAAAUGCGGAAGAGAUAAGUGCUGAAAGCAUCUAAGCACGAAACUUGCC